GACGAACGCUGGCGGCAUGCCUAACACAUGCAAGUCGAACGAGACCUUCGGGUCUAGUUGCGCACGGGUGCGUAACGCGUGGUAACCUGCCCUUAGGUUCGGAAUAACUCCCCGAAAGGGGUGCUAAUACCGGAUAAUGUCUUCGGACCAAAGAUUUUUCGCCUUUGGAUGGGCCCGCGUUGGAUUAGCUAGUUGGUAGGGUAAAAGCCUACCAAGGCGAAGAUCCAUAGCUGGUCGGAGAGGAUGAUCAUCCACACUGGGACUGAGACACGGCCCAGACUCCUACGGGAGGCAGCAGUGGGGAAUAUUGGACAAUGGGCGAAAGCCUGAUCAAGCAAUGCCGCGGGAGUGAAGAAGGCCUUAGGGUUGUAAAGCUCUUUUACCCGGGAUGAUAAUGACAGUACCGGGAGAAUAAGCUCCGGCUAACUCCGUG
rnacentral:rRNA from 1 species